AUUGAACGCUGGCGGCAUGCUUUACACAUGCAAGUCGAACGGUAACAGGCCUUCGGGUGCUGACGAGUGGCGAACGGGUGAGUAAUGCAUCGGAACGUACCCAGAGGUGGGGGAUAACGCAGCGAAAGCUGUGCUAAUACCGCAUGUGAUCUGAGGAUGAAAGCGGGGGACCGAGCAGCAAUGUUUGGCCUCGCGCCUUUGGAGCGGCCGAUGUCGGAUUAGCUAGUUGGUGGGGUAAAGGCCUACCAAGGCGACGAUCCGUAGCUGGUCUGAGAGGACGACCAGCCACACUGGGGCUGGGACACGGCCCAGGCUCCUACGGGAGGCAGCAGUGGGGAAUGUUGGACAAUGGGCGCAAGCCUGAUCCAGCAAUGCCGCGUGCGGGAAGAAGGCCUUCGGGUUGUAAACCGCUUUUGGCAGGAGCGAAACGGUGUCCGCUAAUACCGGGCGCUAAUGACGGUACCUGCAGAAUAAGCACCGGCUAACUACGUG
rnacentral:rRNA from 1 species